rnacentral:misc_RNA from 1 species
GAUGAAGAACGUAGCGAAAUGCGAUACGUAAUGUGAAUUGCAAAUUCAGUGAAUCAUCGAGUCUUUGAACGCACAUUGCGCCCCCUGGUAUUCCGGGGGGCAUGCCUGUCCGAGCGUCAUUGCUGCCCUCAAGCACGGCUUGUGUGUUGGCCCCCGUCCUCCGAUCCCGGGGGACGGGCCCGAAAGGCAGCGGCGGCACCGCGUCCGGUCCUCGAGCGUAUGGGGCUUUGUCACCCGCUCUGUAGGCCCGGCCGGCGCUUGCCGAUCAACCCAAAUUUUUAUCCAGGUUGACCUCGGAUCAGGUAGGGAUACCCGCUGAACUUAAGCAUAUCAAUAAGCGGAGGA